CAGUAGCCACGGUAAUACAGAGGAUGCAAGCGUUAUCCAGAAUGAUUGGGCGUAAAGCGUGCGUAGGCGGUGAGUUAAGUCUGCUGUGAAAUCCCCGGGCUCAACCUGGGAAUGGCAGUGGAUACUGGCUCGCUAGAGUGUGUCAGAGGAUGGUGGAAUUCCCGGUGUAGCGGUGAAAUGCGUAGAUAUCGGAAGGAACACCUGUGGCGAAAGCGGCUCACUGGACCAUUUCUGACGCUCAUGCACGAAAGCGUGGGGAGCAAACAGGAUUAGAUACCCCGGUAGUCCCUGUCUCUUAUAC
rnacentral:rRNA from 1 species